rnacentral:rRNA from 1 species
AGCUAUAUAUUAAAGAGAUUUAUUUAUAUAAAUAGGUUUGCUAGCUGAUUGUGUAUAUACGCAGGCCAAUGCUUCUAAUUUCAUAGCAAGCUUGCUUGCUAUGAAAUAGGCAACCAGUAAUAUAAGCAAGUGUGUGCUAUUUAUAGCGCUAGCCUACAAACCUAUAAUUAUAUUAACUCUAAGAGAAAUUUAAUAAUAAACGAAGUGAAUUGAAAUAUCUUAGUAACUUUAGGAAAAGAAAUCAAAAGAGAUUCUAUGAUUAGCGUGAGCUAAAAUAGACUAGCCUAAAAAGUCAAAUGGUGGAUAAACUGUUUAAAUUAAAUGGGGAACCUUCCUCAAAGGCUAAAUAUAAUAUAUAAGCGAUAGUGGAAAGUACCGUGAGGGAACCAAAACAAAAACAGUGAUUUUAUAAGCAGUUCGGGAAAAUAAAAAAAAGUUAGAACGUACCUUUUGCAUAAUGGGUCACCAAGUUAACAUUAGAUGCGAGUAGGAGGGAGCUUUAUAAAAAAAAAUAUAUUUUUUUUUUAUAGCCCCGUGCAUACGUAGUUAAACCGAGCGUUAAAAUAACGGUAAGUAUCUAAAGUUAGACCCGAAGCCUGGUGAUUUUACCAUAAUCAGGAUUAUAAAAGUCCGAACGGAAUAUUGUAGCAUAAAUAUCCGAAGAAUUAUGGUAGGUGUAGUGAAAGACAAUACUGACCAGGAUAGCUGGUUUUCUGCGAAACCUAUAACAGUAGGCAAUUUAAGUAUAAUAUCUUAGCAGGUACAGAAUUUAAUCUCAGACAAGACAUAAGGCUUAGCUUGCUAGCAAGUAAAGCUCAUGUUUUAUUUUGUACAGAUUGGGGGAUCAUGAAGAUUUUAUCAGUGAGUAUGUAGACUCGGAAUGGCAAAGAUAUAUCUUAAAUCAUCAGACAUAGAAUGAUAAGGUUGUAUGUCAAAAGGGAAACAGCCCAGAACAAGAGUUAAGGUUCCUAAAUUAUUAGUUGAGUGAAAUUAAGAAGGUUUUUAUUAAAGUCGACAAGGAGAUAGGCUUAGAAGCAGCCAUAAUUUUAUGACCUCGUAACAGAGCGCUUGUUAAGUUUUAAAAGCAUCGAAAAUUUAUCGGAUCUAAACAAUAUACCGAAACCUUGUCCAUAUUAUUUUAUAAUUAAAGCUUAAUUAUAAUUAAAUGGGGUAGCAGAACGUUGAGCUAAAUUAAGAUUUUUAUUUUUUAAAUGAAAUUAUAAUAAUUUAACUCAAGUGAUAAUGGUGACAUGAGUAACUAAAAGAAAAAAUAAAAUUUUUCCGCCUAAAGCUUAUGGAUGUAAUUAAGUAACGGCCUCUAAGUUUAUAUUAUCUAAAGAUUUAAACGAUGAGAUAAUCUUUUGUACUAAGGACGACAUUUUAAGUGAAAAAUGUACUGGAAAAAUAGUACUAAAUUAAUGGCUAUAGCUAAUCAGGGCUAUAAAAAAAAAUAUAUUUUUUUUAUAAAGCUCGCUAUAGCUAUAAAUGAAAAGUAACCGUACCUAGAAUCUGAAACAAGUAAGCUAGUAGAGAAUACGAAGGCGUAAAUGAGCUAACAAUCAUAAAGGAACUCGGCAAAUUGACUACCGUAACUUCGGGAUAAGGAGAGCUCAUUAUUCUUGAUUAAUAUCAGGUAAAGAGGAAGAAGCAUGAAAUAGUGUUGUACGACUGUUUAAUUAAAACACAGCACUUUGCUGAAAGAUUAAAAAUCUAAGUAUAGAGUGUGAUGUCUGCCCGGUGCCGGCUGGUUAACAGAUAUAAUUAAAUAUACUAAUAUUUGAUGUAGACGGAAACCCCGGUUAAAGGCGGCCUUAACGUGAGGGUCCUAAGGUAGCGAAAUGCCUUGGCCGUUAAAUGCGGUCUUGCAUGAAUGAUGUAACGAUACAACAGCUGUCUCUAUGAUUGACUCAGUGAAAUUGGAAUAGCUGUGCAGAUACAGUUUACCUCUAGUUAGACGAGAAGACCCUAUGCAGCUUUACUGUCACUAAUUAUAGAGUAUGAUAAACAAUUUUCAGAUUAUAAGGUAAUUGACGGCUAGCUUGUUCAGCAAGCUAGCUCUAUGACAAUGAGAAUCCUUUAUUUUUUUUUCAUAUGAAUGAAUUGGUUUAGGAUUAUGAGUAGGUAGCUGCUUCUGCUACUUGGCGCAAGCAUUGCUUGCGUCAGGUGUCUGAAGUAUGCAUUCCAGCUCAUGCAUAGUAAAUCAACCUAAUUCAGCUUAUUUUCCUUUCUGCCAUAAGCGCAUAAUGAUAGAUUUAACUUAAAUUUUGAUUUAUGCCGAGCCCCUCCGGGGCUACUGCAGAAAUAGAUAAGUACCCUUGGCUAAGGAACUAUCGCUAGGGGACAGUUUAUGUGGGGCACAGACCCUGUAAAGAGUAAACAGGAGUGUCUAAUAAUUUAUAAUUAUUUUGUUUGCGAUUUAAGAUAGUGAAACUAUUUUUAAUCAUAUAAAAUUAUUUAUAUGUACAUUCGUUGUAUAUAUAUUUAAAAAAAGGUAGGAUUUUCACUAUAUAGAAAUUAGAGAUAAUAAAAAUAUUAAGAAUAUACCUUUCAGGUAGCACUAAUAUUUUUUAGCUAUUAAGACAGGCUAUCAAGCUAGGCUCUAAUAGUUAUGUAUUAAUUAUCUAAAAAGCUCAACGGCUAAAUCUUGCCUUACUGUUUGAUUAUCAACAAAUCUUACAGUUGCGUAAGCAGGGCAUAGGAUCACAAGAUGCAACAAGGAAAGAUCUUGGAUUAUUGGAAAAGCUACGCUAGGGAUAACAGGCUAAUUUGCGCAAGAGUGUACAAAAUGAGUGCGCGGUUUGGCACCUCGAUGUCGGCUUAACUUAUCCUCAUGGAUGCAGGAACUAUGUAGGGUGCGACUGUUCGUCGAUUAAAAAGUUACAUGAGCUGGGUUAAAUACGUCGUGAGACAGUAUGGUUUCUAUCUUCUAGGGGGAAUUAGAAUAUAAUAAGAACUAACUUUUGUACGAAAGGAACAAGAAGAAUUUAAUUUGUAAAAGGGUUAAAUAAUAGUUACUAACCUAUGGUUUACCUGUUGUCUAUGUGCCCAAAUAUUAAAAUAUAUAUGGAGGAAGCUCCUUAAGAGCUUCCCCCGCAAAUUAUAUAUAUCUGUAUAGCUAGCCUGCGGACUCCGGUUAUGCCUGAGUUUGGCAAGCUAAAGCUAUACAUAGGGAUGUUUCUUUCACUAAGAUAAAUAUAUAGCAUAGGCACGGCAGGAAAGCUAAGUUGGUUAAGGAUAAGUGCUGAAAGCAUAUAGGCACGAAGCUUAUCUUAAGAUAUUUCUUAAAUAUACGUAAAAUAUUAUUACGAAGGAUGUAAUAUAGGCUUUAUCCGUACGAAUCAGGAGAUUUUUAAGAAUAAAGUACUAAUUUUAUAAAUAACUAUUUAU